AAAAAAAAGAAAUCCUAGUGAUGAAAACAGAUACCUGAGAAGCAGAUGAAAGAAAUGGUUUUAAGUGUCUAGCUGGCUGCCGUGAAGACCCCAGCAACCCGAACAACUCGAGUUUGUACUUUACUCCUCCAUGGGAGAGGUGACAAACCCUCAACCAGGAAAACGUCUUCAGGAAAAGAAGAAGUUCCUUGUGGGCCUGGAACAAGAAGGCCACCUGCUUACUUUCCGAUUUCGAUGGCACGGAGACACUCUGCCUAGAGCUAAUGGACGCGUGUAGGACUUGGGGGGAAAAUUAUCCUCUCAGCCUCUUUCCCACAUCAUGUCUUUCUCUCCAAGAACAUGAAAAUAUUGUGCAAAACUGCCUUAUGGGGAUGAAAUGAAGCAGCAGAAAACUAUUCCUACAGUGUCUGAUUUCUAUUCCUCACCCCAACACUACUGAGUGGUGCUACAUUUGGGGCAACGGGAGGAGAUUCCUCCCUGCAACCAUCCCUCUCAUCUGCCUUUCCUCUACCUCCUUUGUCUUUCAAAUAAACCUCUGAGGUGGACUGCCA